rfam:Trichomonas vaginalis G3, whole genome shotgun sequence.
ACGCUUAGAGUAUGCCCACAUGAAUGACUCAGCGCAAGUAUGAGUCUUUGUUUUCUUCCGAAAACAAGCUCAAUGAGAGCCAUCGGGGGUAGAUCUAUCUCAUGACGAGUGGUGGAAUACUUUGACUCAUGAGAGAGAAGCUGAGGCGAAGGCGUCUACCUAGAGGGUUUCUGUCGAUCAAGGGCGAGAGUAGGAGUAUCCAACAGGAUUAGAGACCCUGGUAGUUCCUACCUUAAACGAUGCCGACAGGAGUUUGUCAUUUGUUAAUGGCAGAAUCUUUGGAGAAAUCAUAGUUCUUGGGCUCUGGGGGAACUACGACCGCAAGGCUGAAACUUGAAGGAAUUGACGGAAGGGCACACCAGGGGUGGAGCCUGUGGCUUAAUUUGAAUCAACACGGGGAAACUUACCAGGACCAGAUGUUUUUUAUGACUGACAGGCUUCGGGUCUUUCAGGAUAUUGUUUUUGGUGGUGCAUGGCCGUUGGUGGUGCGUGGGUUGACCUGUCUAGCGUUGAUUCAGCUAACGAGCGAGAUUAUCGCCAAUUAUUUACUUUGCCGAAGUCCUUCGGUUAAAGUUCUAAUUGGGACUCCCUGCGAUUUUAGCAGGUGGAAGAGGGUAGCAAUAACAGGUCCGUGAUGCCCUUUAGAUGCUCUGGGCUGCACGCGUGCUACAAUGUUAGGAUCAAUAGGACUGCGAGCCUGAGAGGGUGCGCUACUCUUAUAAUCCCUAACGUAGUUGGGAUUGACGUUUGUAAUCAGCGUCAUGAACCAGGAAUCCCUUGUAAAUGUGUGUCAACAACGCACGUUGAAUACGUCCCUGCCCUUUGUACACACCGCCCGUCGCUCCUACCGAUUGGAUGACUCGGUGAAAUCACCGGAUGCUUACGAGCAGAAAGUGAUUAAAUCACGUUAUCUAGAGGAAGGAGAAGUCGUAACAAGGUAACGGUAGGUGAACCUGCCGUUGGAUCAGUU